rnacentral:rRNA from 1 species
UUUUAAUGAGAGUUUGAUCCUGGCUCAGGACGAACGCUGGCGGCGUGCCUAAUACAUGCAAGUAGAACGCUGAUGUUUGGUGUUUACACUAGACUGAUGAGUUGCGAACGGGUGAGUAACGCGUAGGUAACCUGCCUCAUAGCGGGGGAUAACUAUUGGAAACGAUAGCUAAUACCGCAUAAGAGUAUUAACACAUGUUAGUUAUUUAAAAGGAGCAAUUGCUUCACUGUGAGAUGGACCUGCGUUGUAUUAGCUAGUUGGUGAGGUAAAGGCUCACCAAGGCGACGAUACAUAGCCGACCUGAGAGGGUGAUCGGCCACACUGGG